rnacentral:rRNA from 1 species
AGCAGCCGCGGUAAUUCCAGCUCCAAUAGCGUAUAUUAAAGUUGUUGCAGUUAAAAAGCUCGUAGUUGAAUUUCGGGACCAUCAUGUUGGUCGUGCCUCGGUACGUACUGGCAUUGUUGGUUUCUCCCUUCUGACGAACCAUGAUGUCAUUUAUUUGGUGUCGUGGGAAAUCAGGACUGUUACUUUGAAAAAUUAGAGUGUUUAAAGCAGGCUCACGCUUGAAUACAUUAGCAUGGAAUAAUGAAAUAGGACGUUUGAUUCUAUUUUGUUGGUUUCUAGGAUCGACGUAAUGAUUAAUAGGGAUAGUUGGGGGCAUUAGUAUUCAAUUGUCAGAGGUGAAAUUCUUGGAUUUAUUGAAGACUAACUACUGCGAAAGCAUUUGCCGAGGAUGUUUUCAUUAAUCAAGAACGAAAGUUAGGGGAUCGAAGACGAUCAGAUACCGUCGUAGUCUUAACCAUAAACUAAUGCCGACUAGGGAUCGGAUGAUGUUAAUUUUAAUGUACUCAUUCGGC